AUGAAAACAGAGCAGCAGAUGCUACGAAAUGAAAUGAUAUACCUCCUCGUCGUCGUCGUCCUUCUUGAGGCGAGUGGUACCGCCGACUUUGUCGAUGGGCAGCUUCAUGUUGCCAAAGGGUGUGUCGACAUCGAUCUUGCCCUUGAUGCUGUAGCCAGUGCCCCUGCCCCUGAUCAUGUCCCAGACGGCAGAGCCCAGGUCCUUGGGCCUGAAGGUGAAGGGGAUCUGCAUCUUGGUGAUCCCCUGCUUCUCGAUCCUGGUGGAGUCGGUGAGCUCCGCCUCCACCACGCUGUCGUCGCCGAGCCACAUCUCGUACUGCAGCAGGUUGAGGCCCAGGUCGAAGUCGUUCUUGUUCUCCAGGCUCAGGUGGAUGGUGGCCGUCGUCUCCUCGAAGGAGAAGUGGUGGAACUUGAUCUUGUCCACGUCCACGUCGGGCUUGUACGGGAUGGGGAUCUCGCCGGACUUGUCCAGCGGGAUCUUGAUGCGGCCGAAGACGGGGACGUCGACGAGGAAGAUGACCCGGAGCAGGUAGGGGAUGAUGCUCCCGGGCUUGAUAUCCGCGUAGGUGCUCCGGAUGUCGUCGAAGUCGAGCGUGAUGGGCACCUUGACCGUCUCCUCGCCGUGCGCGCGGAUGGUGCCGGCGUCCGGGAUGAGGCCCGCGACGAGCUUCCGGCCGUCGCUGUCGAUGAGGUAGUCGAUGUCGACGAGCGGGAUGGGCACCGGGUUGGGGUUCUUGAUGAGCACGUCGACGACGAGGUCGGCGCGGUGGAGGCCGAUGUGGGGCACGUGGAUCCGGGCCACGUCGGCGCUGGGCUUGCCGAACCCCACCGCCUCCUCGAUCUUCUCCCCGAUGUCGUGGAUGAAGUCCUUGACCUUGUCGAUGAACCCGCCGCCGCCCUCCUCCUCCUCUGUCUUCUCCUCCUGCUUCUUCUUCUUGUCGGCGGCGUCGUCCUUGCUGCUCUUGCUGAAGAGGCCGCGGUCGGUGACCGUGUUGGGGUUGUCCGACGACGACGACAUGGCUGGCAAGAUCGGAGCUUUGCUUCAGAUCCCGGCCGAGAUGAGAUGGAAAGUGGAGAUGCGAAGAGGAUUCUUUGGGAUCAAAUCAAACAAGAGCGGAUUCGGAUGGUGAUUGAGCGAGUACCUGGGGAGGGAGGAAGGGGAUCCGGACGGACGGAGCGAGUGGAGAUCGCGUGCGGAGCGUGUCGCGGUAGUGGGGGCCGGCCGGCAGCUGGAGUGGACGGACGGACGCGUGACGAGUGGAGCGGUAGUGGGGGCGAAGCGAGGAGCACGUGCAGGGACGGGGUUGGGCUGUCCGCCGCUUCCACCUCAGCUCAGCUGGUCGGUCGCCAAGGGAAGGAAAGGAAGGAGUCAAAGCCACCAAGAAAGUGA
rnacentral:rRNA from 1 species